rnacentral:lncRNA from 1 species
UUUCGAUCUUAGGGUGUUCAAAUCAACGAUCCACACCGUUAAAUAUGAUCUAGGGUAUAUGAAUUUCUUAGGAAUAAAAUUUUAUUUUUUUUCGAUAUCGUUUACUUAGUAAAUAAAUUAUAUCAAAAUGGACGGUGGAAAUUGAAUAAUCUUUAAAAUUUGAGCAUAGGACUUUUAAAUUCAAGAUCAAGAACGUUAACCUUAAUCUAUAUAGUUUAAAGUAUUUUCUAUCAAAAUUUGAAGAAAUUUAGAUUCUUCUACGCCGUUAAACCCCAAACUCGUCAUAAUAGCCAUUGAAAAUUGAUAAUUUUGAAAUAGUUUGAUCAUAAAAUAAACUAUGUCGAAAAAAUAUAAAAUUUUAUUUCUAGAAACUUUAAAUACCCUAGAUCAGUUUUAACGGUAUGGAUCGUUGAUUUGAACGUCCUAAGAUCGAAAACCAACACUAUAGUACUGGAGCUCGGUGCUAUAGAUAAUAUAGUAGCCUAGCUCUAUAUAUAUAUAUAUAUAUAUAUAUAUAUAUAUAUAUAUAUAUAUAUAUAUAUAUAUAUAAUUAUAGCAUCAGUAUAAUUUAUAAGGGUCAAUCGUAAGAUUUCACGCGAAUAAAAUCGAAAGGUGUAGGUCUCACAUUGUUUCAACCAAUACAAAAACAUUUUUUACCGACCGUCACUAGAACAAGUGGUAAAGGACUUGGUGGUUGGUACCCGAGACCUAAGUUCGAAUCCUAGUUGAUUCACAUUUCCAGCUAAGUUUAUUUUUAAAUGAAAUAAACGAAGCGAGUAGCGUGCUACCUAUCUCUAAAAAAAAAAACACAAAAACAUUUUUUAAGGAAUGAUUUUAUAACUAUCCCUCAAAAUCUUGAAAAUAUCACAAAUACCCUCCAAAAUAUUAAAAUAUC